rnacentral:rRNA from 1 species
GCCCGCACAAGCGGCGGAGCAUGUGGAUUAAUUCGAUGCAACGCGAAGAACCUUACCUGGGUUUGACAUGCACAGGAUCGCGGCAGAGAUGUCGUUUCCCUUGUGGCCUGUGUGCAGGUGGUGCAUGGCUGUCGUCAGCUCGUGUCGUGAGAUGUUGGGUUAAGUCCCGCAACGAGCGCAACCCUUGUUCCAUGUUGCCAGCACGUGAUGGUGGGGACUCAUGGGAGACUGCCGGGGUCAACUCGGAGGA